rnacentral:rRNA from 1 species
UAGGGAAUCUUCGGCAAUGGGGGGAACCCUGACCGAGCAACGCCGCGUGAGUGAAGAAGGUUUUCGGAUCGUAAAGCUCUGUUGUUAAGGAAGAACGAGUGUGAGAAUGGAAAGUUCAUGCUGUGACGGUACUUAACCAGAAAGGGACGGCUAACUACGUGCCAGCAGCCGCGGUAAUACGUAGGUCCCGAGCGUUGUCCGGAUGUAUUGGGCGUAAAGCGAGCGCAGGCGGUUAGAAAAGUCUGAAGUGAAAGGCAGUGGCUCAACCAUUGUAGGCUUUGGAAACUGUUUAACUUGAGUGCAGAAGGGGAGGGUGGAAUUCCAUGUGUAGCGGUGAAAUGCGUAGAUAUAUGGAGGAACACCGGUGGCGAAAGCGGCUCUCUGGUCUGUAACUGACGCUGAGGCUCGAAAGCGUGGGGAGCGAACAGG